CUGGCAUAGGGUUAAUCAGGGGAGUGCCACAGAAUGUGCCUCCCCCACCACACAGGUCCAUCUGGCAGCCGUGCCUCUACCUAGUGGCUUUCUGUGGGCAAGGGGCCUCUGCUCUAACACAGCCCAGCUUCACCCCUACCUAGAGAGCCACAGGCAGUGCCCACCACCAGCGCAGAAAGUCUGGCUGACCCUCCACCCCAAUCUUUCCUCUCCAGGUUUGCUGCCUCUCCCGGAUGGACCCCAUCUGUGUCCCACCUACUCGCUCUCACCUGCGGUGUGCCAGGUGGUCCCAGAGGGGAAGAGACUGGGGCAAGGAAGCCUUCCUGUGGUGACCGAGGUUACAGGCCUCUGUAUGGCUGCAUACUGUGACCUGAAAGCCAAAUGUUCCCCUGAUCCCUCCCAGCCUGAGGACUUGAACCUGCUUUGGCACCACAUCCCACUCUGAACACUACUGAGCCUUCAAUGACACAGUGGAUAUGAGAGAAAGAGCAGCCAGAGAAUUGGUGACCUAUGGCCUAGUUCCUGAGACUGAUGACUUUUGGAGGAAGGGGGUCAGGCCUGUUUCAUUGUGAAGGUGGUGACCCUAGCAUGCUGGACUUCUGCAGAAUAAACGCCCUUUGUUGCUUGCAUGCUA